CGGCAACAGCUCAGAUUUGAAAUCUGGCCUUCGGGCCCGAGUUGUAAUCUGUAGAGGAUGCUUUUGGUGAGGUGCCGCCCGAGUUCCCUGGAACGGGACGCCACAGAGGGUGAGAGCCCCGUCUGGCUGGCCACCGAGCCUCUGUAAAGCUCCUUCGAC
rnacentral:rRNA from 1 species